rnacentral:rRNA from 1 species
UGCNCUUUCGGGGUGACUCGAGUGGCGAACGGGUGAGUAACACGUGGGUGAUCUGCCCUGCACUUUGGGAUAAGCCUGGGAAACUGGGUCUAAUACCGAAUACACCCUGCUGGUCGCAUGGCCUGGUGGGGGAAAGCUUUUGCGGUGUGGGAUGGGCCCGCGGCCUAUCAGCUUGUUGGUGGGGUGAUGGCCUACCAAGGCGACGACGGGUAGCCGGCCUGAGAGGGUGUCCGGCCACACUGGGACUGAGAUACGGCCCAGACUCCUACGGGAGGCAGCAGUGGGGAAUAUUGCACAAUGGGCGCAAGCCUGAUGCAGCGACGCCGCGUGAGGGAUGACGGCCUUCGGGUUGUAAACCUCUUUCAAUANGGACGAAGCGCAAGUGACGGUACCUAUAGAAGAAGGACCGGCCAACUACGUGCCAGCAGCCGCGGUAAUACGUAGGGUCCGAGCGUUGUCCGGAAUUACUGGGCGUAAAGAGCUCGUAGG